AAAAAGACAAACCCUAGGUUUCUGUGUCCAACGUUUGACCGUCCGUCUUAUUUAAAAAAAUUAUGAAAAAAAUUAAAAAGAUAAGUCACGCAUAAAGUACUAAUCAUGUUUUAUCAUCUAACAACAAUAAAAAUACUAAUUAUAAAAAAAUUUCAUAUAAGACGGACAGUCAAACGUUAGACAUGAAAAUCCAGGGUUUGUCUUUUU
rnacentral:pre_miRNA from 1 species